GACGAACGCUGGCGGCGUGCUUAACACAUGCAAGUCGAACGGAAAGACCAUGCUUUUGUGGGGUGCUCGAGUGGCGAACGGGUGUGUAACACGCGAGUAACCUCCCCCUGACUUUGGGAUAAAUUCAGGAAAAUGGGGCUAAUACCGGAUAGGAGCUCCUGAUGCAUGGGGGGGGUUGGAAAGUUGCGGUGGUUGGGGAUGGUUUCGAGGCUUAUCGGCUUGUUGGUGGGGUAGUGGAUUACCAAGGCUUUGAAGGGUAGCCGGCCUGGGAGGGUGACCGGCGACAUUGGGCCUACGAUACGGAGCAGACGCCUACGGUAGGCAACAGGGGGGAAUAUUGCACAAUGGGCGGAAGCCUGAUACAGCAACGCCGCGUGCGGAAUGACGGCCUUCGGGUUGUAAACCGCUUUCGCCUGUGACGAAGCGUGAGUGACGGCAAUGGGUAAAAAAGCACCGGCUAACUACGUG
rnacentral:rRNA from 1 species